rnacentral:rRNA from 1 species
UUGCGGCGUGCCUAACACAUGCAAGUCGAGCGAAGCACUUUGCUUAGAUUCUUCGGAUGAAGAGGAUUGUGACUGAGCGGCGGACGGGUGAGUAACGCGUGGGUAACCUGCCUCAUACAGGGGGAUAACAGUUAGAAAUGACUGCUAAUACCGCAUAAGACCACAGCACCGCAUGGUGCGGGGGUAAAAACUCCGGUGGUAUGAGAUGGACCCGCGUCUGAUUAGCUAGUUGGUAAGGUAACGGCUUACCAAGGCGACGAUCAGUAGCCGACCUGAGAGGGUGACCGGCCACAUUGGGACUGAGACACGGCCCAAACUCCUACGGGAGGCGGCAGUGGGGAAUAUUGCACAAUGGGGGAAACCCUGAUGCAACGACGCCGCGUGAGCGAAGAAGUAUUUCGGUAUGUAAAGCUCUAUCAGCAGGGAAGAAAAUGACGGUACCUGACUAAGAAGCACCGGCUAAAUACGUGCCAGCAGCCGCGGUAAUACGUAUGGUGCAAGCGUUAUCCGGAUUUACUGGGUGUAAAGGGAGCGUAGACGGAUGGGCAAGUCUGAUGUGAAAACCCGGGGCUCAACCCCGGGACUGCAUUGGAAACUGUUCAUCUAGAGUGCUGGAGAGGUAAGUGGAAUUCCUAGUGUAGCGGUGAAAUGCGUAGAUAUUAGGAGGAACACCAGUGGCGAAGGCGGCUUACUGGACAGUAACUGACGUUGAGGCUCGAAAGCGUGGGGAGCAAACAGGAUUAGAUACCCUGGUAGUCCACGCCGUAAACGAUGACUACUAGGUGUGGGGUGGCAAAGCCAUUCGGUGCCGCAGCAUACGCAAUAAGUAGUCCACGUGGGGAGUACGUUCGCAAGAAUGAAACUCAAAGGAAUUGACGAGGACCCGCACAAGCGGUGGAGCAUGUGGUGUAAUUUGAAGCAACGCGAAGAACAUUACCUGCUCUUGACAUCCCGCUGACCGGACGGUAAUGCGUCCUUCCCUUCGGGGCAGCGGAGACAGGUGGUGCAUGGUGGUCGUCAGCUAGUGUCGUGAGAUGUCGGGUUAAGUUCCGCACCGAGCGCAACCCCUAUCUUUAGUAGCCAGCGCCCAGGCCGGUCACUGUCGAGAGACUCCCGGGGAUAAUCCGGAGGAAGGUGGGGAUGACGUCAAAUCUUCAUGCCCGUUAUGAGCAGGGCUACACACGUGCUACAAUGGCGUAAACAAAGGGAAGCGAGACCGCGAGGUGGAGCAAAUCCCAAAAAUAAGGUGUCAGUUCGGAUUGUAGUCCGCAACUAGAAUACAUGAAGCUGGAAUCGAUAGUAAUCGCGAAUCAGAAUGUCGCGGUGAAUACCUUCCCGGGUUUAUACACACCGCCCGCCACGCCAUGGGAGUCAGUAAUGCCCGAAGUCAGUUACCCAUCCGUAAGGAGGGAGCAUCCGAAGGCGG